rnacentral:rRNA from 1 species
UGGAGGAAAGCAGGGGAUCGUAAGACCUUGCGCUUUUGGAGUGGCCGAUGCCUGAUUAGCUAGUUGGUGGGGUAAAGGCCUACCAAGGCGACGAUCAGUAGUUGGUCUGAGAGGACGACCAGCCACACUGGGACUGAGACACGGCCCAGACUCCUACGGGAGGCAGCAGUGGGGAAUUUUGGACAAUGGGCGAAAGCCUGAUCCAGCAAUGCCGCGUGAGUGAAGAAGGCCUUCGGGUUGUAAAGCUCUUUCAGUCGAGAAGAAAAGAUUGUGAUGAAUAAUCACAGUUCAUGACGGUAUCGACAGAAGAAGCACCGGCUAACUACGUGCCAGCAGCCGCGGUAAUACGUAGGGUGCAAGCGUUAAUCGGAAUUACUGGGCGUAAAGGGUGCGCAGGCGGUUUUGUAAGUCAGAUGUGA